rnacentral:rRNA from 1 species
GGCUUAGGAUGAACGCUAGCGACAGGCCUAACACAUGCAAGUCAGGGGCAGCACAAGGAGCAAUCUGAGGUGGCGACCGGCGCACGGGUGAGUAACACGUAUGCAACCUGCCUGUAAGCGGGGAAUAACCCGUUGAAAGACGGACUAAUACCGCAUAAUACUAAAUUACUGCAUGGUAAUUUAUUUAAACAUUUAUGGCUUACAGAUGGGCAUGCGCAUGAUUAGCUAGUUGGAGAGGUAACGGCUCCCCAAGGCAACGAUCAUUAGGGGUUCUGAGAGGAAGGUCCCCCACACUGGUACUGAGACACGGACCAGACUCCUACGGGAGGCAGCAGUGAGGAAUAUUGGUCAAUGGACGAGAGUCUGAACCAGCCAAGUCGCGUGCAGGAAGAAUGUCCUUAAUGGAUUGUAAACUGCUUUUGCAGGGGAAUAAAGUGCAUCACGUGUGAUGUUUUGUAUGUACUCUGCGAAUAAGGAUCGGCUAACUCCGUGCCAGCCGCAGC